rnacentral:rRNA from 1 species
AGUGAACGCUGGCGGCAGGCCUAACACAUGCCAGUCGAGCGGCAGCGCGGGGGCAACCCUGGCGGCGAGCGGCGGACGGGUGAGGAAUUCGUCGGAAUCUGCCUUUUUGUGGGGGAUAACGUAGGGAAACUUACGCUAAUACCGCAUACGUCCUACGGGAGAAAGUGGGGGACCGCAAGGCCUCACGCAGAAAGAUGAGCCGACGACCGAUUAGCUAGUUGGUGGGGUAAAGGCCCACCAAGGCGACGAUCGGUAGCUGGUCUGAGAGGAUGAUCAGCCACACUGGAACUGAGACACGGCCCAGACUCCUACGGGAGGCAGCAGUGGGGAAUAUUGGACAAUGGGCGCAAGCCUGAUCCAGCCAUGCCGCGUGUGUGAAGAAGGCCUUCGGGUUGUAAAGCACUUUUGUCCGGAAAGAAAUCCCUGGAGCUAAUACCUUCGGGGGAUGACGGUACCGGAAGAAUAAGCACCGGCUAACUUCGUG